rnacentral:sRNA from 1 species
UUUUUAUUCGAGGCUAAAAAAAAAUGUUUAUGCAAUGAUAAAACGAGUUAAGCAUUUUUUUUUUUUUUAAGUUGCCGACUCACCUGACAUUGGAACAACCC